rnacentral:rRNA from 1 species
CCUACGGGAGGCUGCAGUGGGGAAUAUUGGACAAUGGGGGGAACCCUGAUCCAGCCAUGCCGCGUGUGUGAAGAAGGCCCUCGGGUUGUAAAGCACUUUCAGUGAGGAAGAACGCCUGGUGGUUAAUACCCAUCAGGAAAGACAUCACUCACAGAAGAAGCACCGGCUAACUCCGUGCCAGCAGCCGCGGUAAUACGGAGGGUGCGAGCGUUAAUCGGAAUUACUGGGCGUAAAGCGCGCGUAGGUGGCUUGAUAAGCCGGUUGUGAAAGCCCCGGGCUCAACCUGGGAACGGCAUCCGGAACUGUCAAGCUAGUGCAGGAGAGGAAGGUAGAAUUCCCGGUGUAGCGGUGAAAUGCGUAGAGAUCGGGAGGAAUACCAGUGGCGAAGGAGGCCUUCUGGACUGACACUGACACUGCGGUGCGAAAGCGUGGGUAGCAAACAGGAAUAGAUACCCUAGUAGUC